GAUGAACGCUGGCGGCGUGCCUAAUACAUGCAAGUCGAGCGAACGGACGAGAAGCUUGCUUCUCUGAUGUUAGCGGCGGACGGGUGAGUAACACGUGGAUAACCUACCUAUAAGACUGGGAUAACUUCGGGAAGCCGUAGCUAAUACCGGAUAAUAUUUUGAACCGCAUGGUUCAAAAGUGAAAGACGGUCUUGCUGUCACUUAUAGAUGGAUCCGCGCUGCAUUAGCUAGUUGGUAAGGUAACGGCUUACCAAGGCAUCGAUGCAUAGCCGACCUGAGAGGGUGAUCGGCCACACUGGAACUGAGACACGGUCCAGACUCCUACGGGAGGCAGCAGUAGGGAAUCUUCCGCAAUGGGCGAAAGCCUGACGGGGCAACGCCGCGUGAGUGAUGAAGGUCUUCGGAUCGUAAAACUCUGUUAUUAGGGAAGAACAUAUGUGUAAGUAACUGUGCACAUCUUGACGGUACCUAAUCAGAAAGCCACGGCUAACUACGUG
rnacentral:rRNA from 1 species